rnacentral:rRNA from 1 species
CGGCGUGCCUAACACAUGCAAGUCGAGCGAGAAGGUAAUUAUGAUUCUUCGGAUGAAUAAGAACUGGAGAGCGGCGGACGGGUGAGUAACGCGUGGGUAACCUGCCCUAUGGAGGGGGAUAACUAAGAGAAAUUUUAGCUAAUACCGCAUAAGCACACAGGACCACAUGGUCUAGUGUGAAAAACUCCGGUGCCAUAGGAUGGACCCGCGUAAGAUUAGCUAGUUGGUAAGGUAAUGGCUUACCAAGGCGACGAUCUUUAGCCGACCUGAGAGGGUGAUCGGCCACAUUGGGACUGAGACACGGCCCAAACUCCUACGGGAGGCAGCAGUGGGGGAUAUUGCACAAUGGGCGAAAGCCUGAUGCAGCAACGCCGCGUGAAGGAAGACGGUUUUCGGAUUGUAAACUUCUAUCAGCUGGGAAGAACCAAAUGACUGUACCAGACUAAGAAGCCCCGGCUAACUACGUGCCAGCAGCAGCGGUAAUACGUAGGGGGCAAGCGUUAUCCGGAUUUACUGGGUGUAAAGGGUGCGUAGGUGGUAUGGUAAGUCAGAUGUGAAAACUCAGAGCUCAACUUUGAGACUGCAUCUGAAACUACUAAACUAGAGUGCAGGAGAGGAAAGCGGAAUUCCGAGUGUAGCGGUGAAAUGCGUAGAGAUUCGGAAGAACACCAGUGGCGAAGGCGGCUUACUGGACUGUAACUGACGCUGAGGUACGAAAGCGUGGGGAGCGAACAGGAUUAGAUACCCUGGUAGUCCACGCCGUAAACGAUGAAUGCUAGGUGUCGGGAGUCGAAUCUCUCGGUGCCGCAGCUAACGCACUAAGCAUUCCACCUGGGGAGUACGACCGCAAGGUUGAAACGCAAAGGAAUUGACGGGGGCCCGCACAAGCGGUGGAGCAUGUGGUUUAGUUCGAAGCAACGCGAAGAACCUUACCAAAUCUUGACAUCCCAUUGACCGGCAUUUAAUUUUGCCUUCAGUAGCUUGCUAUUGCAAUGGUGACAGGUGGUGCAUGGUUGUCGUCAGCUCGUGUCGUGAGAUGUUGGGUUAAGUCCCGCAACGAGCGCAACCCUUGCCUUUAGUUGCCAGCAUUAAGUUGGGCACUCUAGAGAGACUGCCAGGGAUAACCUGGAGGAAGGUGGGGAUGACGUCAAAUCAUCAUGCCCCUUAUGAUUAGGGCUACACACGUGCUACAAUGGCUGCUACAAAGGGAAGCUUAGCCGCGAGGUGAAGCAAACCCCAAAAAGGCAGUCCCAGUUCGGAUUGUAGUCUGCAACUCGACUACAUGAAGUUGGAAUCGCUAGUAAUCGCGAAUCAGAAUGUCGCGGUGAAUACGUUCCCGGGUCUUGUACACACCGCCCGUCACACCACGGAAGUUUGGGGGGCCCAACGUCGGUGACCUAACCCUUCGGGGAAGGAGCCGCCUAAGGCAAAACAAAUGACUGGGGUG